rnacentral:lncRNA from 10 species
AGUAAGGCAAGUUUCAUUAGCUCUUAAGGUUGCAUAAUACCCUUCUUUGGUUAGAUGCUGUGCACUGCAGGCCAAAUAGGGUGGCAUCCUUAUCCCCUUGGCUCUUCUGAGGCAGACCCACACCUUAGCCUUGGUGGGAGAGCUCCAUCCACAGCAUUGGUCCUGCUCUUUUAAAACCAAGAUGGAGGAUGAAGCCUUGCUCCUGGGGUCUGUAUACUCUGGCUUGUGGUGAAAUUGGUAGUCGUGAUGAUUUCUAAAUGACCAUUGGGGUACUACUUCCUUUGACUGAAUUCAAUCCAUAGUACUGUAUUCCAUACCUUCUUCUCCUGAUCACAACUCCUUGCUUCAGAUCAGUAUCUGGGUUAAAAUUUUUAUUAAAUUUCUUAUUAAAAUAUUUUUUAUUCUUUUAGGAAUGUGCCAUAUUAUCACUGUUAAAAAUGCUCUUUGUUCUAAUCAAGGACUCGUGAAGAAUCUAUGAAAGAAGUUAACUAUGAAUGACCUCUACCCACCUCUAGGGAAAGCAAGUCAUGCCAACCUACAACAAGAUGAUGUGGAAGAAGAGUGAUUGUUAAAAAUGAACACAGGAAAGAAGUGUGGCUGAGAAAAUAAAGAUGUUAGGAAAAAACAGAAAAUGGAAAAAAAAGAGUUAAAUCUGGUGAAAGGCUCACAGAAAAGCAUGUAAGAUGUUCCUCAACCAAGGAUGGGAUUACAACCCAAGAAACUCAUCAUAACCUGAAAAAAUCGCCCUCCCAAUCUUGAAGAGAUUAACUAAACAUCUAGCACCUUUUAACUAUCUGAAGAGGAAACAUUUGCCAUCUAUUGUUUCUAAGGGUAGCCACUAUAAGACUUUAAAGGAACCUUGGUCUCCACUAUCUUUUAUCUUAACCUGAACAUUUCUUUCUAUAGAUCCCAGGUCUUUAGACAAACUCAACCCAUUGUCAACCAGAAAAUGUUUAAAUUUACUUAUAGCCUGGGAGUCCCCCACCCCCACUACGCACCCCCUUCCCCGCCCGGCCCACUUUGAGUUGUCUUGCCUUUCUGAACCAAACAAUGUAUUUCUUAAAUGUAUUUGAUUGAUGUCUCAUGUCUCCCUAAAAUAUAUAAAACCAAGC